rnacentral:rRNA from 1 species
AUGGCGAGAGAGCUGAGCAAGAAGAACCUGGAGAUGGUCCUCAUGCAGGCCAUGAUGGCCGCCAAGAACGUGCGGACGCAGCACGACCGCCUCCUGGAGCUCCGCCGCCGCCUGCAGCGCCACCAGGCCGACGCCGACGCCGACGCCAAGCUCGGGGAGAUCGCCUCGGACGUCUUCAAGGUCUACUACUUUGGCCUGGAUGCCGGCGCCAAGAUGCUCUCGGUCUGCCUCAAGAUCGCCGUCGAGAACCUCGCCGUCUCCACCGUCAACAUCGCCUUCGCGCUCAUGCCCGGCGAGCAGCUCUACGACGCCCUGCUCGCGCAGCGCCUCCCGGCCCGCCCCACCACCCAGGCCCAGGCCAUCGCCCGCGUCGAUUCCGCCAUCUUGGCCGUCAUGAUGCUCGGGGAGCACCACCUCCCGCGCUGCGUCGAGUGCCUCGUCGGCGGCCGAGCUCCCGUCCGAGGCAAGCCCGACAGCAGCCCCGACAGGGACGACGAUCCGGUCGCCGCCGCCACCGAGGGCCUCGCCAAGGUCGGCCUUUCAGACGCCUCCGCCACCGCCAAAACCGGCAGCAAGCCCCGUGACACGGCCAGCGGCCGCGACGCCGACAAGGCGCUCGACUACCUGUGCCGCGCAAUCAGGAUGACGACCCUCGCCAUCAAGCACAUCGACGUCGUCGUCGCCGUCCUCUCCCGCUUCCUCGACCCCGACGAGCUCGCCCGCCUCGCUGAGGUUACCGACGGUGCCGCCUACCUCGGAGUUGAGAUUAGCCAGCCCACUACUUCACCUGAUCCGUCAACAGAUUAG